UUACAUAAAUAAUUUAGGUUGGUGAGUGAUCAGUAAGGCCAUGGCCUAGGUUGAUGACUUCCAUUUCACUUUGGAGUGUGGUUUGCUUAAGAUCGACCCAAGUCAUUAAACUUACGUCAUAAUUUGUGACAAUAGGGCCCUAG
rnacentral:snRNA from 1 species